AUCGACAUUGAAGCCUGAUGGCCUUUUUCUUGCACCAAUUCUUCUCUCGUCUGUGCUCCGGUGUUGAUAAUCUUUUGGGACCAUUUUUCUGCAACUGCUUAUACAAAUGUUUAAUUAGUUGCACAGACAUACAUACAUGAUUCUGCAAGGAAAUUACUUUCUUUGAUUUGUUCUUUAUAAAUGUUUUUCAGUGGUUCUUUAAUAUAGAUGUUCCAUUUCUUGCAUAAGCAUAUAUGAUUCUGUGAGCAAAUUAUCUUCACAGGUCUGUUUUAGAGAGAUGUUUGAUUAGCUGCACAACAUACAUAGUUCUGUUAGUAAUUUGUUUUCCCUGGUUAUCUUGAUAUUUAGUUCUCUUGGUGACUGUUUGCAUGGUGGGUCAUGUUAGCAAUGGGUAUAAGGGUAUCGAGUGCCCAGCCUUUAUAUUUUCAUCAGGUGUAUGUAUUCACCACUAUGCAUGUGUAUAUGUUGUUGGCCUAACUAUAUACAUUUUUUGGUGUGAUGAUUCAUCCUCUAAAAAUUUAUAUUGUCUCCUGUUGUGCUUGAUGUUUGAGGUUUGGCUUUAAAAAGAAGCUAUUUCUAACGGAAGGUCAAUGGGAGAAAAAGGCAGUGUAUACAUUUUAUUUGGAGCUUAUCUAUGACCUUGUGCACUUGUCUUUAUAUAUGCUCUUCUUCGUAGAUAUCUUCCUGUCGGUUCUCUUAUGAAGAUCUUUCCCCUUGUCUGAUUUGUUUUACCAUAUCAGGAACCAUGGUGUCCGAGUGCACUUGAUCCAUGAGCUGUACGAGACCUUCCGCAACUUCAAAAUUCGUGUUUUGGAUUAUGUGCACCGCAGAAAGAUAACUUCCAGCAUGAAUGGACGCUUUCCAGAAGCUACAGCACAUGAGCUUAAUGUAGACGACAACAACAAUGAAGCUGCUUUGUGGGCACUUGUUCCAUGUGCAUUGUCUGAGGUCAUGGCGAGAGCGCCAACAUACUUGCCUACAUGUAGAUCUCCCAUUGCCUCCGGACAAUGGACGUGCUCCAUCAGCGGGACAGCAUGAAGCUCAACUAGGAGUUAGCUUGCUGCAGGCAUCGGUGCUCCAGGUUCAGAAGGAGUAACAAGCAAGAACGUGAACAGGCGCCCAACAAAACUUGAGGCCUACGUGAACUGGCCCCCAACAAAAUAGGCAAUCUUCGUUGAAUGUUGUAAUAUAUUUACAACUGGAUUCAAUUUUAAAUCAGAAAUAGAAGCUGUUCAAGUUUCAGACAGUAUAUGAUGUGGCAUGUGCAUGCUUUACAGUUACCUUGCAAGUCUCGUGGUGUUGCAUAGAUAUUUCUGUAUCUAUAUGAAUGUCAGACCCUGCGUGAUUGAUCUUAUUUUAAUCCUAUGUGAGAACUAGCUCUCCUUUAGUAAUGUAGUACUUUAUACUAAACUGAACUGGGAAUGGUUUGAUUGCGCUCUAUAGGACAGUGUUAUUUCUUCUCAUAGAAUGUUGUCAUCUAUAUCUUGCUGAAUGUACAUAACUAUAUUUUGCAUGAUAGUAUGUUUUUGAUAUGCCAGUCAUAUAAGUUACUUAUUUUCUACAGGUUGUUACAUCUCCAAAGAGGAUUCCAGCAGCAAAACUUUAUGGUCAGCUUGAAUGGAAGCCCACGCUCAGGUCUUACUCUAGCUCUCUUCUGGAGUGGUUGUGACCCCACCACGCGCAAGGUAUUCACCAAGAACCAGAAGGUUUUGGACACCAUGGGUAUGGCUACAUUCGUGGAUGAUGCUAAGGGCUGCAAGAAAUAAAAUAGUAUGUUGCAUUUUGCCUACAGGUAAGGAAACAUGUACCUUAUUUCUGCAAAGAUGUGCUCUACUCUUUUAUUUCAUGAGUAUUUGCAUUCCCUGUAGAAGCUGACUGGUUACAUUUAUGUUUAGUACACCAUCAUAAUCUCCCAAAUACUGCACUCAUUUAUACUUUCCCGCCCAUAUUUAAAAUAGCGUGUUUUAGUUCUGAUUACAGCCAUAUAGGUAUUCAUGUAUAAGAUCGUUUGCCUUCAGUUCUGGUUAAAUCAACUUGGAUGAUCAAUCAAAUUUCCAGUGAUGAUACUCUAGUGGAUCAGGCUUCUAAACCACUAUCACUUUCCUGACAGAAGUUGUGCAUGUAGUACAUGUUUUCAGUUCAGCAAGCUCUUUUUUAGUUAGAUAUCGAUUUUGAAGACUAACAUGUCAUAUGAAUGCUCCCAGCUUAGCAAAAGCCUUGAUCUUUCCAAUUUUGUAAGUUGAGAGAAUACUUUGCUACUUCAAAAUCUCCAGAUAAAAGUUGAAGAAUUCAUAUGAUAGUCGAUUGGAAACAUAUAUCUAGCAGUUCAUUUUUUUUCAUGCGCACAAUGGGAUAAAUUGAUGUAACACAAGCCUUUACAAUUUAGUGCUAUUGUUAUUAGAUUCGAGAGACUUGCUUUGUUACCAUACUUAGAGUUGCCGAUUGUUUACUAUAGUACUCCCUCGGUUCCUAAAUGUAAGUCUUUUUAGACAUUUCAAAUGGGCUACAACCUAUAGAUGUAUGUAGACAUAUUUUAGAAUGUAGAUUCACUCAUUUUGCUCCGUAUGUAGUCACUUGUUGGAAUCUCUAAAAAGACUUAUAUUUGGGAACAGAGGGAGUAAUAGCCAGGAAGGUUUGUAGUCAACUUAUCUGCAGUUGUAAUUAGUCGACUUAUGCUCCUUAAAUUGUUGUUCUUUGGUGACCAGUUAAUGGGCAAUUGACUCUCUGGCGUAUAUGGAUGAUCUAAUUGUUGGGAAAAUGUUCAGUACAUUGUAAUAUGAAAGGUUUUAUGCUGCAAAAAAAUAAAAAUAUGAAAGGUUUUGAUUUUUUUUCUUGGGACUUCUUCUUACACUUUUUACUAUUGUACUACUUCCAUCCAGGUUUAUAGGGCCCUUUAGCCACAAUGUCGUGUCCAUUCUAAUAAGGCCUGCCGGUCCGCAGUAGUUGCAUGCAUGCUUUAUUGCUAUCGAUUCAUUGGCUGCAUGUAGCUAGGGGAGAGAGCACGAUGGGAAUGGACUGCAUGCAUACUCGAGUGCCUCAAUUCUAUUGGCUGCAUGUAGGAGAGAGAAUAAUUACUGGACAGCUUGCAGUCAAUUCAGUCACAAGUCUCGUUGUACCUUGGUCCUAGAGAACUUUUUUAUGGGACUUUUAAUCCCGGACGGAGGUAGUAUUCACUAUAGUUUUCCUAUAUUGAACUGAUUUUCUGCUUGUAUUGUAGAUAUCAAGUCUUAGAGAAGGAAGUUUUGUAUGGCAGUCAACUCUAUUCUCUAGUUCAGAUUCAUAGUUAAAUACCCCGUUCUUCUUUUUUCAGCCCUUGACAUUUUCUCCUACUUGCUAAUGCAGGAUGGAAAACUGCCUGUUACAUGUAGUCUUCAAAACCUGUGCUGAAAGGGCGCUUCUUUCUUUGGAAAGUAUCCGAUUUUGCAGAACUUUUGGCUGUAUCGAAUAGUUUUCAAGUUGUUUCAGUGACAUCCAUAAGUGAGCAAACUUGUGGUGGUGUGCAAUGUUCACCUAACUUAAAAUAGCUUGCGCCCUGUCUUUCUUCCGCAACACAAAAGCUAGAUUAAUUUACCGUCCAUCCGUCAAGUGAGCUCAAGCACAAAUUCUGAACAUUCACACAACCAACCAAGAUGCAGGUGCAUUAGAGCAUGGAAAAGGCAAAGUUCUCAAAGAGUAAUUGAUAUUUCCUCCAUUGAUGAUGAUGAAAACAACUGAACAAGGCCAGAAGUAUCAACCCAUACUCCCUACAUUUACCCAACUCUUCUCCCUGUACAAAAAUAAAUAAAUAGAUGUACACACGGGCGUUUAAGGUGGCAUACAUGACUGCCCAUGAAUAAGUCUAUUGAUACAUGGAUUUUUUUU